AAGAAGAAGAAUCAUAAAAACAGGUUUAAUACGUUUUAAGCCCGUGUCCCAUUCAUUCGUUUCUACGAUGGUACGAAAGUGUUCCUAUUGGUUGGAGAUCUGUCAAUUCGGCGUACGAAUUGACAGAUCUGGUGACGGAUCUGGGCUUUACGCAUUAAGCUUACGAGUUACCAACUUUGAUUCAUCAUAUUACAUCCAGUGAUUUGCACUAUUUUAAAGAAAAUUUCACCGCCGUAUGCGAAAUUAUCCUGCUCUGGCGUAUCGGCCAGGACGAUUUUCGAGACCUAGCAGGAUGAAUUUUUCCGUGCGCAGGGGGAAGGUCAUGUGACAGAAUCAAUACGUCCCUAACCAAUCGGCUGGGAUGAAAAUCAAUGAAUUUAUGCUGCUGGAGCCUUGAAGUGCCUACCAAGAAGGCUCAAGUGGCCAAGAAACAUCAACUUCCUUCAUACCUCCAAAUAUGAUAGCAACAAUUAAACACUCCAAGUAUACUUAGGCCAAAAAACCAUUGGAGAUUCAGGGGAUGGAAACAGCCAACUGGAUUGGGCCAGAGAACAAUUCAAUUUUUGUUCAGUGUAUCAAUAAAUGGAAAGAACAGACGCAAUACCAUUUAUCUGGAGAGCCCUAAGAGGGGGAUUAAAAAUGCAAUAAAUGGACGCCGUUUCCUUUAACAAUGUCUAUGUUUUGUAGUUUUAUUUAUUUUCUUACUUUCUUGCUUUACAAUGGAAUAAAUUACUUUGCGUUCUUGGU